ACUUAAAUUGAAGAGUUUGAUCAUGGCUCAGAUUGAACGCUGGCGGCAGGCCUAACACAUGCAAGUCGAACGGUAGCACAGAGAGCUUGCUCUCGGGUGACGAGUGGCGGACGGGUGAGUAAUGUCUGGGAAACUGCCUGAUGGAGGGGGAUAACUACUGGAAACGGUAGCUAAUACCGCAUAACGUCGCAAGACCAAAGAGGGGGACCUUCGGGCCUCUUGCCAUCAGAUGUGCCCAGAUGGGAUUAGCUAGUAGGUGGGGUAACGGCUCACCUAGGCGACGAUCCCUAGCUGGUCUGAGAGGAUGACCAGCCACACUGGAACUGAGACACGGUCCAGACUCCUACGGGAGGCAGCAGUGGGGAAUAUUGCACAAUGGGCGCAAGCCUGAUGCAGCCAUGCCGCGUGUAUGAAGAAGGCCUUCGGGUUGUAAAGUACUUUCAGCGGGGAGGAAGGUGUUGUGGUUAAUAACCACAGCAAUUGACGUUACCCGCAGAAGAAGCACCGGCUAACUCCGUGCCAGCAGCCGCGGUAAUACGGAGGGUGCAAGCGUUAAUCGGAAUUACUGGGCGUAAAGCGCACGCAGGCGGUCUGUCAAGUCGGAUGUGAAAUCCCCGGGCUCAACCUGGGAACUGCAUUCGAAACUGGCAGGCUAGAGUCUUGUAGAGGGGGGUAGAAUUCCAGGUGUAGCGGUGAAAUGCGUAGAGAUCUGGAGGAAUACCGGUGGCGAAGGCGGCCCCCUGGACAAAGACUGACGCUCAGGUGCGAAAGCGUGGGGAGCAAACAGGAUUAGAUACCCUGGUAGUCCACGCCGUAAACGAUGUCGACUUGGAGGUUGUGCCCUUGAGGCGUGGCUUCCGGAGCUAACGCGUUAAGUCGACCGCCUGGGGAGUACGGCCGCAAGGUUAAAACUCAAAUGAAUUGACGGGGGCCCGCACAAGCGGUGGAGCAUGUGGUUUAAUUCGAUGCAACGCGAAGAACCUUACCUACUCUUGACAUCCAGAGAACUUUCCAGAGAUGGAUUGGUGCCUUCGGGAACUCUGAGACAGGUGCUGCAUGGCUGUCGUCAGCUCGUGUUGUGAAAUGUUGGGUUAAGUCCCGCAACGAGCGCAACCCUUAUCCUUUGUUGCCAGCGGUUAGGCCGGGAACUCAAAGGAGACUGCCAGUGAUAAACUGGAGGAAGGUGGGGAUGACGUCAAGUCAUCAUGGCCCUUACGAGUAGGGCUACACACGUGCUACAAUGGCGCAUACAAAGAGAAGCGACCUCGCGAGAGCAAGCGGACCUCAUAAAGUGCGUCGUAGUCCGGAUUGGAGUCUGCAACUCGACUCCAUGAAGUCGGAAUCGCUAGUAAUCGUAGAUCAGAAUGCUACGGUGAAUACGUUCCCGGGCCUUGUACACACCGCCCGUCACACCAUGGGAGUGGGUUGCAAAAGAAGUAGGUAGCUUAACCUUCGGGAGGGCGCUUACCACUUUGUGAUUCAUGACUGGGGUGAAGUCGUAACAAGGUAACCGUAGGGGAACCUGCGGUUGGAUCACCUCCUUACCUUAAAGAA
rnacentral:rRNA from 2 species